CUCAGAAACAUGCGUGCUAUGUUCCUGUUUGUCAACUUCUGUCUGCACUUGCAUUAAUACAGGGUUUUGAAUGAUUUAAUUAAAUAUAUUGUCAUAAUGCUAAUUUCACCAAUGAGCCAAUGAUGAUACGAAAGAAACGAACCCUAAUACAGUUCUGGAAAAACAUCCUAUGGACAAAUGAGGCGGCAGGUAUCUUAGUGGUUGCUGGAUUGAAUCCCUGGGCUGACAAGCCUUUCCUGCUGAGGCUAGAGUCAGUGAGGCCCACCCGGGGCAUGAAGAAGGCAGAGAAGCUGGCAGACUACCAGUGCCAGGCCGGAUACCUGGGCAUCGCCACCACGCUCUCUGCCAUAGACAGAUCGCCCUCCAAUAUGGAACGGACCUCCAGCAGAACGUCAGCAGGAAAGAUGCCCAGGCCUGGCAGUACCAACCACCACCACAGUGCCAGGGCAUCAUAUGCCAUCGCUAUCGCCGCCACACCCCUACCCAGGCAUGCCAGUGCGGCAGCGUCCCGGCAACCUGGUCCUGAGAGCUGUGCUCAGGGAGGAGCACCAUUCCCCAACUCCCCACCUUACCAAGACCUUACCAAUAAGGCAAUUACUUGCCCCUAAACACUGAUCCAAGGUUGGCUCCCAAUAGAAGGAUCUCUAUAGAAGCCCAAGGAAAUGGGAUGGAUAUUUCUAACCCUAUAACAGCCCAAGUCAGAGCCUGGAACUAGUAAACCUUACC
ensembl:lncRNA